rnacentral:rRNA from 1 species
UACGAAGGGGGCUAGCGUUGCUCGGAAUUACUGGGCGUAAAGGGCGCGUAGGCGGCACUGUUAGUCAGGCGUGAAAUUCCUGGGCUCAACCUGGGGACUGCGCUUGAUACGGCAGAGCUAGAGGAUGGAAGAGGCUCGCGGAAUUCCCAGUGUAGAGGUGAAAUUCGUAGAUAUUGGGAAGAACACCAGUGGCGAAGGCGGCUAACUGGUCCAGCACUGACGCUGAGGUGCGAAAGCGUGGGGAGCAAACAGG